rnacentral:rRNA from 1 species
AAUAGAUACCCCGGUAGUCCACGCCCUAAACGAUGCUCACUAGGUGUUGGGGAAGCGAUUCCUUGGUACCGUAGCUAACGCGUGAAGUGAGCCGCCUGGGGAGUACGGCCGCAAGGUUAAAACUCAAAGGAAUUGACGGGGACCCGCACAAGCGGUGGAUGAUGUGGAUUAAUUCGAUGCAACGCGAACAACCUUACCUACCCUUGACAUGUCCGGAAGCCUGCUGAAAGGCGGGGGUUGCUCGAAAGAGAACCGGAACACAGGUGCUGCAUGGCUGUCGUCAGCUCGUGUCGUGAGAUGUUGGGUUAAGUCCCGCAACGAGCGCAACCCUUGUCCCUAGUUGCUACGCAAGGGCACUCUAGGGAGACUGCCGGUGACAAACCGGAGGAAGGUGGGGAUGACGGUCAAGUCCUCAUGGCCCUUAUGGGUAGGGCUUCACACGUCAUACAAUGGACGGUACAGAGGGUUGCCAACCCGCGAGGGGGAGCCAAUCCCAGAAAGCCGUUCGUAGUCCGGAUCGCAGUCUGCAACUCGACUGCGUGAAGUCGG